rnacentral:rRNA from 1 species
ACGAACGCUGGCGGCGUGCUUAACACAUGCCAGUCGAACGGGCCCGCCCCUGUUUUUGGGGGUGGGUUGAGUGGCGAACGGGUGAGUAUCACGUGAGUAACCUGCCCCCUGCUCCUGGAUAACUGCUUGAAAGGGCGGCUAAUACGGGGUGUGCCGGCUGGUCCGCAUGGGCCUGGUCGGGAUAGUUUCAUCUUCGGGGGUUUCGGUGGGGGAUGGGCUCGCGGCCUAUCAGCUUGUUGGUGGGGGGAUGGCCCACCAAGGCGGUGACGGGUAGCCGGCCUGAGAGGGUGGGCGGCCGCACUGGGACUGAGGCACGGCCCAGACUCCUGCGGGAGGCAGCAGUGGGGGGUAGUGCACAAUGGGCGGAAGCCUGAUGCAGCGACGUCGCGUGAGGGAUGGAGGCCUUCGGGUGGUGAACCUCUUUCUCCGGUGGUGAAGGCCCUGUCCGUUGCGGCGGGGUUGACGGUGGCCGGGUAUGAAGCGCCGGCUAACUACGUG